rnacentral:lncRNA from 1 species
GAUGAUUCACAGGAGCCAGCCGGUAAUGAAAGAAAAUCCCCACAGCUUUACCGGGAAAUUCUGUGUGAAAACAGGCUAUCGCACCGACGGUAACGGCAGAAGAGACGCUGCAGUCGACGAGCUCCAGAGCCGCAGACGCGCCAAAAUUGUUCACGAUGUUCCGGGACCGUGCCACUUGCUACUUCGGGAAACUCGCUUUGUUCUAUAGGUGUAAAGUGUCCCGUUUCCCACUUUCUAUCGUGCGCCAUGUGUGAAUUUGAACGUAAAGCUACCACGCCGAUGAUACGUUUCCCGCCACAAGGUUCCUCGACUUGGGACAGGGUUCUAUUUUGCGUCCUGCCUGCAUAUCCAAGUUGGCGUACAGUUCUAGCUGUGGCGACUUUCUUCCGGGGAGAAAAUAGUCAGACACCCGUGAUCAUGUCCGUUUGCGAGAUCUGUGCAGAGUGGGAUAGAAACCUGCGCAACGAGUCAGGAUCACCUCGGUAGCUAAGACAGUUCGAGUACAGUUAUUGUGAUGCAUGGCUGCACUGCAAGAGAAGAAGAACAAUGCAUGGAAAGGUAAACCGUCACUGCUUUUUGCUUCCUCGAAUCGAGCAGGCGGUUGAUUUGAGUUCGCGCUCGUGGUGUCUCUCUAGGGCGUCUCCACCGUUCACUCGACCCCUUGGUGUUCAAUUAAGAGGCCACCACAUGUCAACAGGCUACGUCCUUCUGGUUCUCGCUCUGUCCUAAAUCUGAACGGGUGCACAGACCCAACCCAUUACUUUACGCGUUUAGGACGGGCGUAAUUGUUCUUCAAUUACUUUUUGCGGUUGUAUGUGUCGUUCUGAUCAGCAAGCUGAAAAUAUGCAAUCCAGUCACUCGUAACAAGUGUUUUCAUCGCUCCGUUGAGGUUUUUUGGUAUCAUUCUGCAGUUUGGCGACUGAGGGUUUUUGAUGUCGAACAAGUUCCGACCAAAUCCCAGGUGUUCUGACGGCCCGCGAAGAGCGGUUCACUCUCCGUUCUCUCCAUUUCUUCGCGAGAGGCAUAAAGUGCGAGUCCGCAGUUUUUUCGAAGCAGAAAUUUGCUCCUCUUGAAACGAUUUUAA